rnacentral:rRNA from 1 species
AUGACUAGGGAUAACCUUAGGAAGAGACACAUCAUUAAACCCCUUGAUUGUCUUUACUGCUUCGAACAAGAAUUUUGUUCUCACCUAUUUUUUGAAUGUAUUGUUGCUAAACAUCUCUGGGCCCACCUUCAGGAAUAUUUCUCUAGUCAGAUUGGCUCAUCCUUCGAAUCUGUCGCCAGAUUCUGGAUUGCUACCAAAAAGUGCUCAGUUUUAAACACUGUUAGCUCAGUUGUCCUUUGGUGCCUCUGGAAAUAUAGAAAUGCUAUGAUUUUCAGUAACACCUCCUGGAUUUCCAUUCCGCAGGUCUUGAGGUUGAUCAGAAACAUGAUGAGGAACUGGGCGAUUCUCUCCUCCGGAUCGGACAAGGACAAGUUGACGAGCUUUGUGGAAACCCUAACAAGAUCCCUCGAGAAACCGUUGGCGAUCACUUGUGGACGAACAAGGCUCGACCUGCUCUAG